CUUGAUCGACCCGAGCCAGAGUGGCUGGUCGUCGCGGCGGUGUUGUCCGUAGGUGGCGAGGAGUGCCUGGGCUUC
rnacentral:antisense_RNA from 1 species